rnacentral:rRNA from 1 species
CUACGGGAGGCAGCAGUGGGGAAUUUUCCGCAAUGGGCGAAAGCCUGACGGAGCAAUACCGCGUGAGGAAGGAAGGCUCUUGGGUUGUAAACCUCUUUUCUCAGGGAAGAACAAAAUGACGGUACCUGAGGAAUAAGCAUCGGCUAACUCCGUGCCAGCAGCCGCGGUAAUACGGAGGAUGCAAGCGUUAUCCGGAAUUAUUGGGCGUAAAGCGUCCGCAGGUGGCAGUUCAAGUCUGCUGUCAAAGGUCAGGGCUCAACCCUGAACAGGCAGUGGAAACUGAACAGCUAGAGUGCGGUAGGGGCAGAGGGAAUUCCCAGUGUAGCGGUGAAAUGCGUAGAGAUUGGGAAGAACACCGGUGGCGAAAGCGCUCUGCUAGGCCUGCACUGACACUCAGGGACGAAAGCUAGGGGAGCGAAUGGGAUUAGAUACCCCAGUAGUCCUAGCCGUAAACGAUGGAUACUAGGCGUAGCUUGUAUCGACCCAAGCUGUGCCGUAGCUAACGCGUUAAGUAUCCCGCCUGGGGAGUACGCGCGCAAGCGUGAAACUCAAAUGAAUUGACGC